rnacentral:lncRNA from 1 species
AUUGACAGACAAAGGUCUGGAUCCUGGGGGAUGUUUGAUCAUGGCUAUAAGAGGGUCAGUUUUUUUUAUUAUUAAUCUUGGACCUGCAACCGGCGGGGGAUCAAGACCAGCAAUUAUACUAGGAAUUAUGCCUCCCUCGCCCUGAGCCUUCUGGCCCUCCUCUUCCACCUUUAAGCCUGUCUGCCACUGCUGGCAAAGAAACUCCAAUGUCUUUUCUAACCUAGUAAUCUUUUCAGUCACGUCCUCCUUUGUUGGUUGUCUGGAUUUUCCGGUUUUUCUGGCCACAGCUACAAUAGGGAGGGAGGGCCAGUCCUCAUUGUUAUAUCUAGCAGCCUCUUUUUCCAAAGCAUCAGCAUCUCCCGGAUCUAAGGGACCCUCAUCUGGAAGAAGACCCUUCCUUAAUGCAGGCUUCGCAUCAGCAUACACUGGCGGAGCAGAUGGCUUAGUUUCACUUUUUGUAGGAGGCGGAGGGACAAGCUCGGGAACAUCAGCCUUGCCAGGCUCCUCAGAGGAAGGACUUGAGGAGGGUCUUUCAACCCUCUCUCCCUCAUACCGAGGAUCCAAACUAUCUCUAAUUAAAGCCCAUAAACUAAAAGUAUCUAUAGGGGCUUUAGUGGGUCCAUGACCAUCAUAAUAGUCCUGAAGUUGUUUUCCCACCUUAGUCCAUAUUUCUAAAUCUACUGUGCCUUUUUCAGGGAACCAAGGACAAACUUUUUUUACAAAUUUUAAAAAAUUACAUAAUUGUUGAUGCCCUACCUUUGCUCCACGAGACCGAAGCAUAUUCUUAAGUAUUUGCGCAAAAAGCAUUGGGCUACUGCUAUUACCCAUCUUGCUACUCCCGAGUGUAUUCACCGCCCUUGACUUAUCCGAGCUCACAAUCCGCGGUGUCCUUCACUAUGGUCCCCCGUAUUCAGGUCCCUGUUCGGGUGCCACCCGUGACGGAGCCCGCCGUCACCUGUCGAACAGUACCUGAAUGGGGGAAUGAGGAUGAAGAAAAAUAAAGACAAAGAGAUAGAGCCGGGAGGGCUCCCAGAGAUCGAGUGCCCAAGUUUAUUUUUCACCUUUCUUUUAUACACUUGUGCCUCUUUAAACAGUAUUGCUUCGAAGUAACAGGUGGGUCUCUGUUGACUUACCCGCGGGCCAGGACAAGUGGCGCCCAACGUGGGGCCCGAGAACGGGGGAUCCAGUGAAGAACGCUGCUCGGGGGCCCAAUAAAAUAGAAGAGACAAAUAAAAUAGAAAAAAGAGGAUUGUGUUUGACGUGAACCUGCCAUCUUUCCUGCACCUCGAAACUCUCACAGACCAGAAAAUAUGUUUCUUCUUUGAUUUGUAUGGAAUUGGCACAGGCUGUGGAUGCUGAUAAGAAUGAUGUCCACUGAAAGUGGCAAUAUGUCUUAUUUUUGAAGCUAAAAACAGAAGUGGAAGAACUUAUAAGUAUGACCUAAAAAGGCAGGAUCAAAGGCAUUUUGGACAUUGGCAAUAGCAUGAUUGAAGUGGGCCAUGAAAGCUGAACUGAUGCAGAUCGUCAAGAUUCCAUUAAUCUCUUCCUGGGAGUUUUCCAUCCUCCCGAAGGAAACUUCCAUUCUGGGAACUCAAACAGAGUUUUGUCCAUAUCACAAAAAAACCUAUGAAACUUUUACCAACAAGAAAAAG